UCCAGCCCGUCUUUCAGAUGGAACCUACACAGACUUUCAAGUCGAAGCUGAGAGGCAACGGCUACGUGCAACUUCUGUUUGUCACCACACAGCAGCACACUGCCUCCAUUUCCUUCUAAGUAAUUCCAAAGGGAAAUGUAAUGCUUUCAAAGUUGUUCUUCCCACCACACCCAAUUCUUUCUCAAAAGCAGAGCCACUCCUUGUUUCUUUUUUCUUUUUUCUAAUCUCCAAGAAAGGUGAAAACUUCCCGCUUGCAGGGAAAUUGCCUGGGUUUCACUCUAUUUGCUGCCAAAUCCUUCACAAGGCCGGGCUGCGUUGUCCUCAACCUUGGUGCCUCUCCUGGAAGGAGAGGGACAGAAAUCUCUUUCUCAUCAUCUGCCAGUCACAAGACAAUUUCAACAGAGGGUAAGAACACAAGACGUAGAAUUUCCUCAAGAUUCCUCAAAAUUUCUUUUGCUGCUGGGAGCAGCAAAGAAGACUGCUGAUCUUCGCCCAUCCCAAGUGCAAGCAAGGAUAGACUUCAUAAGACCAUUUAAAAGAAAAUUUGGGGAGGGGUCUCGAAAGAGGCAGGAAGAAAAAUUUAGUGAAGAUGCCUCAAAGCACAGAGAACCAACUCAUAACUGGAUUUAGAGUCCUGUCUAACCUGUUUUGCGGUGUAAAGGAAGAAGCGUGGUUCUCUGCUUAGACGUGAAAACAGUCUGGCAACUUAUAGGAGUGCCGCAGCUAAAGAUGCAGGCCAAAGUACAAGCAAGAAAAUUUAGCCAACCAUAGCUGAAGAGGCUCACCUCCUCCCUGCCCCAUGUGGCAUAUCUGGGCCAAUCACUAUGCUACACCCAGCUGUUCUGCUCUGCGCCUGCAUCCAAUGACUGACAGCAGUGCACUGUUACUGCAGAAGGUGUCAUCCAUCAAUGGAGAAAUAGAGCUUUGCAGUGUACCAGAAACUUUAGACAGCUUAAAUCCAUCUUAACAUCUGCAUUUUCUCCUUUCACAAGGCACUCUUUUAAAUUGGGAGGAGGGGGUGUUCAGAAAAUGCACACACACACAGAAGAAUAAACAGAAAAAAAAAUCAAAACAUUCAUGAAACUUUCUGUCAAGACAGCUGGUUUUCACUUACCAAAACCCCAAAACAAUAUAAGUGCCUGCCAGCAAGUUUUUAGUUAAUGUGGCUUCUUUUCCUCCAGCAUUUUAAAGGGCCAGGUGAAAGCUAAUUCAACGAAUUGUUAACAUGUCUCUCAAUUGAUGCCACUGUAAAAAUAAAAUAUAAUGUGGCAAAAUGAAAAAUAUACCUAGAGAAUGCCGGCUUGCUGAGAAUUUUGGGACCAAACUUUGCAAACUGCUUAUGGAGUGAGGCAGGUGGUACUUCUAAUCUGAAGACUCUUCCAACUUCUCUAAAGAACGUGUAUUUUUAAAUUAUUAAUUACAUGCAUGGGCGUGAACUUUGAACUUGUAUGCGCACAAGUAACAAAGCUCUUGGCAGCAGAAAUGGACAUAACAAACCAGGAACUGGCUGAAGAACCCACAAUUACUUUGCUCAUUUGCAAGAUUCAGUCUUAUAUAAUAAGCAACAUCUUAAUAAAAAUUGUUUUAAAAUUGAGCACAACUAAAAAAAAUACAGUCAGAAGACCACAAAACUUUCAAAAGGAUUGUUGUGUUGUUUGAAACUUCCAAAAAUGUAACAAUUUGUUGGCAAACAUCUUACCCUACCAACAUUGUGUUUUCUUAAGGGCAGCCAAUGACAAAUAGACCCUAUCAACAGUUUUUACAGUGACUGUACCAAGAAUUAUGCUAUUUGCUCUUGGACAAACAAAUGUCUGCAUUACAAAUUCAAACAGUACAUAUUGACAACAAAGAACUGCUAUUAGAAGGUGACUACCUCACUAAUCCUCCAUUAUUUUAAAAUAUACACACAGUUCAUCUUCUAUUCUCUAUCUUGCUUUAACAAUAACUUGAGACAUUAGCAUUCUUUCCAGUUGCAAAACCAGCAAUCUAGUCUCAUACUUAUCUGCCAUUAUGAAUUAAGGUAAAUAACGGAUGGGCUUGUUUCCUCAAGAAAAGUAUCUGACACUGAAACAAAACACCAACACAAUUAGGAAGGGAAGGGUUGUGCAAAGAAAGAAUAUGGCCCAAAAGAGAUAGGCAACUCUCACAGAAAGUUACUUUCAGUACCUUAUAAAUACACAAGCCAAUAAUACAUAUUCAAGAUGGUAGCUUGUAGACAGAGGUAGCCUGGAUGUAGUUAAUCACAAAUCAGAAGUCAAUACACAGCAAUUUGAAGAAUAGAAAUUACUGAAGAAAAUCAGACCCCAAAGGUUAGUAAGUCUCCCACUAUGUUAGACUAUAAUCAAUCAUAAAUGCACAUUUAUUCUGAAGAAAUUUAACAAUGAAUUAGUUACUGAUGGCAGUGGAAUAUUAAUUGGUUUUUCCAACUCAAUGCAAUAUUUAUAAAAGAAUAUAUUCAUGUAAUUGUUGUAUUUUUAGUUACUAGGAAAAACUAUUCAUGAAGAAAUUAUGUGGUCACUAAGAGAUGAAGAUGACUCAAUGGCACAUAAUCAAUUAAUGAAAAUUUAUACAUAAACCAGUCCAAUGUUUUGUGAUGGAUAUAUGCACAACCCUUUUUUCCCUACCUCUGCUUGGUCUAGAGGCCACCCUUAGGCAUUUGGAAAGUAUCAUAGAACUGCUGAUACCAUACAUGAUAUAACCAUUGUGCACUCUUUCUGUAAAAAAUAAGCAAAAGUUGCCAUUGUAUCCAAAAGAGUUCAGACACAAUGUUUUUAAGAGCGAAAUGAUCUCGAGUAAACAUUCCAAAUCAAAAUUCCCAAUUAUGAUAGAAACACAAUUCCUAUAGUGAAUAAAUAUAUACAGUAGCAGCAUAUAUACCAUAAUUCACCACCUGCAUUCAACACUAUUCUGCUAAAUCAUAAUCACUGCAUACAAAAAAAAAAGAUGAACCAGAUCUGGUACAAUUCAAGUUAUAAUUCUGAGUAGGUACUCAGAAUUGAGGUUCUUCCUUCUCCACUCCAGGGGAAGGUUACUGCAAAAUCCCCAUUUCCUUCCAAUCAGCUGGGACUUGGGAGGCAGAGAAUAGAUGGUGGUGGGGCCAGUCAGAAGUGGUAUUUAUCGGUUCUCCGAACUACUCAAAAUUUCCGCUACCAGUCUCCAGAACCAGACAGAACCUGCUGAAUACCACCUCUGAAGUGUACCAUAGACAGGAACCAUGUCCAAACUUGUUUUAUGAACAUACUUCCAUUUUCUCUAAUGAAGAUUCACGUUUAAUGUUUGUCCAAAUUUUAAAACACGCUCAGCAAAGAUUUGUACUUCCUUUUGUUAAACAGUAUGUAUUGGCCAGAGUAAUUUUGGCAACUAGAAUAUGGCAAAGUAUUUUAAAUGUGUUUGUUUUGUGCCUUUGAGUCAGUACUGACUCCUGAUGACUGCAUGGACCAGUCUCUGCAGUUAUCUGGCAAGCUUUCAGAAGUGGUUCCCCACUGCCUGCUUCCUAUGGCUGACGGAGAGUAAGUGGCCAAAGAUCACACAGAUGCCCAAGAACAGACUAGAACUCACAGGCCUCCAGGUUCUACAAUGACUUUAACCACCACAUCAUUUUAAUUUGGGAAAGUAUAUAUCUACAUGCAUUCUUGAGAAUAAGACCUAGACAUAUCAAACUCUUUUGAAUUGCAGAGGUGGGUUUCAGCCGGUUCUGACCAGUUCUGGAGAACCAGUAGUGGAA